ACACGUAGGGGGCGAGCGUUGUCCGGAAUUACUGGGCGUAAAGGGCGUGUAGGCGGCCAAGUAAGUCAGUCGUGAAACCCAGCGGCUUAACCGCUGGCUUGCGAUAGAAACUGCCUGGCUUGAGUGCAGUAGAGGGGAGUGGAAUUCCCAGUGUAGCGGUGAAAUGCGUAGAUAUUGGGAGGAACACCAGUGGCGAAAGCGGCUCCCUGGCCUGCAACUGACGCUGAGGCGCGAAAGCGUGGGUAGCAAACAGGAUUAGAUACCCUGGUAGUCCACGCCGUAAACGAUGGGUGCUAGGUGUUGGGGGUAUCGACCCCCCCAGUGCCGCAGUUAACGCACUAAGCACCCCGCCUGGGGAGUACGGCCGCAAGGCUGAA
rnacentral:rRNA from 1 species